AAGGAAGCAGCGAGUCAACUCAUAAAGGAUGACACUAAUACUCAUGCUGUAAUCCUCAGGUGUUGGGUGCUUAAUUAGUGAGAUUCAUGCCAGCAUUUUCAGCUGCCCUGUGAAUAAUGGGUGCUCCCAUUGAUUGACUACCUAUCGCUAUCGGCCGAUAAUGGCUUUGGGAAGUCUGAUCGGCGGUCUCUAUAUAAAGGCUGAUCUCAUAAAUUGAUCUGAAGCUGACGACGUGCCUGCAGUGAGAGGUUUGGCAUGACAUCCAG